rnacentral:tRNA from 1 species
GCGCUUAUGGUGGAAUGGUAGACACGCUAGUCUUAGGAACUAGUACUGAAAUACGUGUGUCAGUUCGAGUCUGACUAGGCGCA